AUUAUUCAUUAUGUGACAAUAAUUAAAUUUUUUAAUUGUUUCAUUUUAGAGAAAACAACCAGAACUCCUCCACCUACCACCACCUCUACUGCCUACGUACCUUCCUCUCCUCCUCCUCCUCCUCAUCUCCUCGUCACAGUGUCUGUUACAUGUUCUGUUGUCUUUGUCCUGAUUCUACUGAUUUUACUGAUUCUACUGGUGAGACGAUGUGUUAAGAAGAAAUCUAAAGCUGGUGAAGUAAAAGUUAAAGAAGAUGACAUCACAUACAGUGAAGUCAAAAUAUUAAAUAAAAAAAGUCACCAACAACAAACAACCAGGGAAAGCAGAGGUAAGUGUUCAUUUGUACUUUGGCUUUGUUGUUUUUUAUUUACUGUUUGUAAAUUGCAGCUGAAUACUACUACUACUACUACUGCUGUACUACUACUACUACUACUACUACUACUACUACUACUACUACUACUACUACUACUACUACUAAUAAUAAUAAUAAUAAUAAUAACAACAGUGCUGUGCAGGUCCUGACUCUCACCUGUAAAGUGAUCAACUCCACAGCACCAGUCCACCUGAACUCAGUCAUCCAGGUCUACAAUCCCUCUCUAUCAUCAUCACGUCUUGUGGUUCUCUCACCUCAAAAGAUCCCAGACAAAACUUUUCAGUUCUUUGGUUCCAUGAUGAUUGAACAAACUACCCACCUCUACACACUCAGCUACGUCACUCUUAACUUUCAAAAACAUGCUGAAAACACAACUCUUGAAAAAUAAAAUCUUAUAACCUGUUCAUCUAAAACAGCUGUCUCUAGAGCACCUUUUAGUAGCAUUUGUAAACCACAGCAAUUUUUAGAAUUAAAAACUAAAAAUACUUGUUUACUAUAGCUCUAGUACUACAGUUCUAACUGGUAGUUCUAACAUUUGCAGUAAAAAGUACUAUUAUCAACUAUCUGCAGUGAUGUCUUCUGUAUUUUAUUUUACAGACACUGAUCCAGAUGUUGUCUACUCAGGUGUGAGAACAGAAGACGUCAGUUAUGGACAAAUAGUCAUCAGACCAAACAGGAGCAGAGGAGCAGCUGCAGGUCCAGCUACAUUCACUGUUUCCUUAUGCUAAGCUAAGCUAAGUUAAACUACACUAACCACGUCCUGUAUCCAACUCUGUACUUUACACAGAGACACUCUAGAAACUGAGAGAUAUGUGAGAGGGAAGCUGAAUAAAGAGGCGUCACUAACAGUGGAAGACUUUAGUCUGAUUAAAUGAAUAAGAGGACAGAAACAACAUAAGGACACUGAGCUCAACAAUAAGAGGUCACGAUCAGACGUGUAGCUCAGAGAUCAUGUCGUCAGAGGCUGAUUAACAAACAUGUGACUUUGUGUGUUUGUGUUCAGACUUUUCUCCAGAACCAGAAGUCGUCUACUCUUCACUGAAGUCGAGCUUCACACCUUCACAACAGUUCAAACACUGACGUCCACCUGCUGAUCUGGAACUGGUUACAACACCUUAAAUUCUUUUAUUUCAUUUUUAGACAUUGAUCAUUUUUUGUAUAACCCACUUAUACAGUUUUCAGUGAUUCCACAUUAACUUUACUUUUUAUUUAUAUUUUUUCACCUGUUUCUCUGAAGCAUCAAUAAACUUUGGUCUAAAUGUAG
ensembl:lncRNA